GAGGGAAGCUUGCUUUCCUUGCCGGCGACCGGCGCACGGGUGAGUAACACGUAUGCAACCUGCCCUCUUCAGGGGGACAACCUUCCGAAAGGGAGGCUAAUCCCGCGUAUAUCGGUUUCGGGCAUCCGUUAUCGAGGAAAGAUUCAUCGGAAGAGGAUGGGCAUGCGGCGCAUUAGCUUGACGGCGGGGUAACGGCCCACCGUGGCGACGAUGCGUAGGGGUUCUGAGAGGAAGGUCCCCCACACUGGUACUGAGACACGGACCAGACUCCUACGGGAGGCAGCAGUGAGGAAUAUUGGUCAAUGGGAGAGAUCCUGAACCAGCCAAGCCGCGUGAGGGAAGACGGCCCUAUGGGUUGUAAACCUCUUUUGUCGGAGAACAAAACCCGGGACGUGUCCCGGACUGCGUGUAUCCGAAGAAAAAGCAUCGGCUAACUCCGUGCCAGCAGCCGCGGUAAUACGGAGGAUGCGAGCGUUAUCCGGAUUUAUUGGGUUUAAAGGGUGCGUAGGCGGAAUGCCAAGUCAGCGGUAAAAUCGCGGGGCUCAACCUCGCUCCGCCGUUGAAACUGGCGUUCUUGAGUGGGCGAGAAGUAUGCGGAAUGCGUGGUGUAGCGGUGAAAUGCAUAGAUAUCACGCAGAACUCCGAUUGCGAAGGCAGCAUACCGGCGCCCAACUGACGCUGAAGCACGAAAGCGUGGGUAUCGAACAGGAUUAGAUACCCUAGUAGUCCACGCAGUAAACGAUGAAUACUAGCUGUUCGGGGCAAAUGAGCCUUGAGUGGCACAGCGAAAGCGUUA
rnacentral:rRNA from 1 species